AAGUCGUAACAAGGUUUCCGUAGGUGAACCUGCGGAAGGAUCAUUAAUAAAUUAACUCAUCGUUAUGGGUUUCUUUAACUCAUAUCAACCUUGUGUGCACCUAAAAUUGUACCUGGCAGUUCUUAGCUGUUUUUCGACUCAAGAUUUUCUUAAGGCUUCAGGUUAAGUUGGUUAACGAGUAUUAGCCUCUCGGGGUUAAGAAAGAUCUCUAACACCUGGCUUUAAGAUCUCUUAGGUCUUAGACAGUUUCCUGCCAAACGUUAAACCUUAGAAAUUUUUUCAGCCUAUUACUUAAGUUUUCUUAAUAAAGCUUAAUUAAUAACAACUUUUGGCAACGGAUCUCUUGGCUCUC
rnacentral:misc_RNA from 1 species